CUCGAAUUUAAAAGAGCUAAUAAAUUAUUAUUUUUAUUGUAGAAUAAAUAUUUUAAAUAAUUUAUUAGUAAUGAAAUGUUAUUCGUUUUUAAAUAUAUCUAGUUUUUUAAGAAAUAAAUUUAAUUUAAUUAUUAAUAAUAUAUUUUUGUAUAUUUAAUUUUAUAUUAUUAAUAUUUAAUAUAUUUAGGGAUGAGCUUAAAUAUAAAUAAUUAAUAAAAAUUUAAAUUUUAAAAAAUUUUAGGAUUAGAAAUUUUCAAAAUUUAUAGUAUGUUAUAAUUAAUUUUUAUUUUAUAUAAUUUAUAUUUUUUAUAAAUUAUUUAUUAAAAUUUAUUUAUUAAUUUUAAAUAUUUAGUAAUAAUGAUAAAAUUAGUAUAAAUUUAUUUAAAUUUAAUUAAUUAAAUUUAGGUUAAUUAAAGGAAUUCGGCAAAUAAUUUUUCACCUGUUUAUUAAAAACAUGGCCUUUUGUAAAAUUUUUAAGGUCUGGCCUGCCCACUGAUAACUUAUUGAAGGGCCGCAGUAUUUUGACUGUGCUAAGGUAGCAUAAUCAUUAGUUUUUUAAUUGAAAGCUAGUAUGAAAGGUUUAAUGAAAAAAUUACUGUCUUUAAUUAAUUUAAUUAGAAUUUUAUUUUUAAGUUAAAAAGCUUAAAUGGUUUUAAAAGACGAGAAGACCCUAUAGAGUUUGAUAUAUUAAAAAUUAUUUAAUUUUAGAAUUUUUAUUAUAUAUUUUUUAAUAUAUUUAAUUGGGGUGAUUAAAAAAUUUAAAAAACUUUUUUUUUAUAAGAAUAUAAAUUAAUAAGUAAAUGAUCCAGAUUUUUUGAUUAUAAGAAUAAAUUACCUUAGGGAUAACAGCGUAAUUUUAUUAGAGAGUUCAAAUCGAUAAUAAAGAUUGCGACCUCGAUGUUGGAUUAAAAUUUAAGUUUGGUGUAGAAGCUAAACAAUUAAGUCUGUUCGACUUUUAAAAUUUUACAUGAUCUGAGUUUAAACCGGUGUGAGCCAGGUUGGUUUCUAUCUUUAAAUAGUUAAUAUAUUUUAGUACGAAAGGACCAAAUAUA
rnacentral:rRNA from 1 species